UUCCUUUGUGGAAUUAAAAAUUAUUUCAAGCCAUGGACAGACAUGGCUUGCUUCAUGCCUGAUUGGCUCUUGCUCCCUACUGCCUUCUACCCCCAUCAGACUGGAUGACAUUAUUCUUCCUAGUUCUAUAAAUAGUGACAACUUUCCUGUCUAAUUCAGAUUGAGUCUUGGAGCUGUUUCUCUUUCCCGGCACAUUUGAGAUCUCCAAGGAAGCCUGUGCCAUGAGGUUUCUUCUCCUUUUCGUCCUGGUUGGCCUGGUCUUUUCCCAGGUUGCUGCAUCACUCUUUAAAAGCCAGUGUGAGAAAAAGGAUGGCUUUUGUCUUGCUGAUAAUUUUGAAUGUCCCUCUACUCCUCAAAUCCCAUUUAAAUGUAAGAAGAAGAAGAAGCAAAAAUAUAUCUGCUGUCAGAGAUAUCACGACGAAAAUUAUUGAUCAUCACUCAAUCAAAUUUGUGCUAAGACAAAGUGAUAUCAAUCUUAUAUAGUUAUUAAAAACAUACCAAAAAGCA